rnacentral:lncRNA from 1 species
GCUCCAUUGCCAUCAUCUGGCCUUCUGUAGCCUUUAAUCUGAAGGAUUUGGCCUCCCAGAUUGUCUUCAUAAAUGUUUCUGAGGUGGAAGCUGAGUUAUUUUCUCAGUACUCUCAGCACAAUCCUCCCGCGGGCUCCACGUUGGAAGCAGCAGAAAUGUGAGCGCCUCCCUUCAAACUGAGGGAGCACGGCGAUGUGGCCCAGCACUUUUUCAAUGCUGCGGUGUAAAAGACAACUCUGUAAUCUCAGGAAAUAUUUCUGUCUUGACCGUGGAAGUAGGACGGUGACUUAUUAAACACUGAUUUUCCGUUUCAACCAAUACAUUGAACGCAACAAGCGGAGGCCGCCUCUGUGGCCUUUGUGCUGGACAGAAGCAGCUGGGGUGGGUGCAGGGGGCACAGGCUGGGGACACGGUGCUGACACGAGGCCGAUGCACGACACAGGGCUGGAGCAGCUGGGUUGGCCCCUGUUUGGGCAGCUCCACCUUCAGUCACAAACACAGGUCACAGCAUGAGGCCAUGAAACGCCCACGACAUGGAGGCUGGUUUGGGGGAAGAGCCCGUGAGUUCAGGAGAGUUUAUUUCUGGCUAGAGAAUGCAGUUUCAGAUGAGACAUCUGAUACCAAGAAAAUGAAGCGCGUCUUGUGGGAAUACUUCGUUCUGUCAGAAUAUUUUUGUCUGUUUAUUUCUGCUGCUCCGGCACUUACAAGAGAUGCUGAUUACAAAGAACUUCUUGAAGGAAAGAAAGGCAGAGGUUACAAGGCUUUGAAAAUUAGAAACACAACCAAAAAAAGAAUUUUAAUAGAGACCGAAGGAGAAGAGCUUGAGCAGGAAAGAAAAUGAAGAUGACUACAACUGAAAUAAUCCUGGAUGCUCUAGAGAGGAGGCUGCUGUUUGUUUACUUUCUGGUAGGAAGAUCUUUUUCUCACAAG